CCUACGGGAGGCAGCAGUAGGGAAUUUUUCGUCAAUGGGGGGGAACCCUGAACGAGCAAUGCCGCGUGAGUGAGGAAGGUCUUCGGAUCGUAAAGCUCUGUUGUAAGAGAAAAACGGCACUCAUAGGGAAUGAUGAGUGAGUGAUGGUAUCUUACCAGAAAGUCACGGCUAACUACGUGC
rnacentral:rRNA from 1 species